rnacentral:lncRNA from 1 species
CCAGAUUCUCUUCAGCAAUAUCAUCACUUGAAGCCUAAGGUUGAAAUGAAAGAGUGUGUUUCGAACCAGGCAGUCGGAAUGAAAGAUGUACAAGCAUGCACAUCAGCUUUUUCAGCUUUGGAUUUUAAUAGUUUGACCUUCAGUAAUGAGCUUCAUGAAAGAUCUGAGAAUUUGAAAGUUGGUGAUCUAUGUCCAUUUGUGUCUCCACCAAUGACCAACACUGUGUUGGGAUCCACAGACUUGGGGAAGAUGAACUUAAUAGAUUAAGAAAAGAUGACCACUGCAGCUGCAUUUCUAUUUUGGAAUCACACUCUCCGUGACCUGUGUGAGUCACAGCUACCAGAAAACAAAGACAGCAAAGAAGGUAAUAAAGAAGCAUAGAGAAUUCAGUCCCAGUGUAGCUGUACUUGGCUUCAUAAUACCAUAGUUGUAACUUUUAAAGAAUCAUUUUGUGG